GUUGCGGCACAGUCUGGCAACGCUGCACCGUUGUCUGAGUACGGCUCUGUAGGAGCUACUCACACCAACUGCUGUGAUGAUAAGGUUUAACCUACGACUGCAAUAGCAAGGUAGAAUGAUAGGAUAAAAACAAAGAUUGGUCAACAAUGAUGAUAUAGCGUGAAUCGUGUCUAAGCAAUAUAUAUUAUCAAAUUACUGAAGUUUUAAGGGUAUAUUUACUCAAAAAUUAGCAAUCUAAGACUAUAAUUUAGUGAAAUCGUUAACAUACUUGAAUUCGUUACCAAUGUUAACCAUAUAUCGAUUGAAUUAAAAGUGAUCAUCCAAUAGCUAUUUUCUAUAUUUAAGACACCAGUUGAAUUGACCAACAUAAUCUGAGAAGCCAUCAAUCGAACUUUAUCUACGUCACCAAGUCUACACUAAAUUGUAAGUCCAAUAUUCUAAAUCUAUGCUUAUCUAAACCGAAAUAUAUUCCAGCUUGAGCUGUAUCGAAGCUGAACGAAAGUGUAGCAUCUUGUUGUUU